rfam:Camelus ferus unplaced genomic scaffold scaffold252, whole genome shotgun sequence.
GAGGGUAAAGCUCAGCAGGAGAGCACAUGCUUAGCACGUGUGAGGUCCUGGGUUCAAUCCCCAGUAUCUCCA